UGGGGAAUUUUGCACAAUGGGGGAAACCCUGAUGCAGCGACGCCGCGUGAUUUAGAAGGCCUUCGGGUUGUAAAAAUCUUUUUUACGGGAUGAAAAUGACAGUACCGUAAGAAUAAGGUCCGGCUAAAUACGUGCCAGCAGCCGCGGUAAUACGUAUGGACCGAGCGUUGUCCGGAAUUAUUGGGCGUAAAGGGUACGCAGGCGGUUUAAUAAGUCGAAUGUUAAAGAUCGGGGCUCAACCCCGUAAAGCAUUGGAAACUGAUAAACUUGAGUAGUGGAGAGGAAAGUGGAAUUCCUAGUGUAGUGGUGAAAUACGUAGAUAUUAGGAGGAAUACCAGUAGCGAAGGCGACUUUCUGGACACAAACUGACGCUGAGGUACGAAAGCGUGGGGAGCAAACAGG
rnacentral:rRNA from 1 species